rnacentral:lncRNA from 1 species
GCACUAACUUGACUCUCCUUCUCCACUGCUGUGUACAGAUUUGCUCAUUAAGAUGGACCAAGGCAGCAUCCUUUUCCGGGAACCCUUUCUAAUACCUUGAGCUGAAAAACGUGCUUGGUAUCAAACUACAGAAAUAACUUACACCAGUCUUGCUUGCCACAGAAUCAGAAUCGUUAUAAUAGGGCUUAAUUCAAAGCUAAUAGGAAGCUUUAUUGAGCUUUAUUCUCUGAGUUUUUAUGCAUCCUCCUUUCUUCGGAAUGCCUGCCUCUUAACGUGGUUCUCACACACACAUGCCAAGGAGUCUGCCCUCUGGUGGACAUAAGAGAAACUACAGUCAGGAGACCAGCAGUCCCACAAGCCCACUUCGCAGAUCGCAGGGCAUUUACUAUUCCAGCAGGACACCAAGAGUUAAGUGGCGAACUGCCCUGUGAAGUAUGUAUUAAUCCCUCAAAGAUGCGGGAAAUGGAAACCAGACAAUUCUUCACACCAGUCUGAAUUCAGCCGUAUUUUACACCAGUGAGGGAGUAAAAAGGCAAAAUAAGGAGAGAGUCCUCCUGAGGCACAGCAGGUUAAGGAUCCAGUGUUGUCACUGCAGCAGGUCGCGGCUACAGCACAGGUUCAAUUCCUGGUCCAGAAAUGUCUACAUGCUGCGGGAUGCAGCAAAGAAAAAACAGAAAGAAAAAAGAAUAAAAAUUACAAAACCUCAGGAAAAUAGGAGGAAACAAUACUGAGCAAGAUGUCAACAAAUGUAUUCAACACAAAGAGAGUGGUUGGUAUGUGCCUUGGCAGACCCAUCACUGAUGAGUGAGGGGACAGAAGCUGUAGAACUCAGGCAGGCUUAGGAACUGGAGGUAACGAUCGCAGCUAAAUACAGGCAGUUAAUUUCAUGUUAGCCAAAAACAGAAUGCAAAAGAAAGACUGGAAAGCCAUGUCACAGAAAUCUCCCAGAAAGAGAAAGAAAUAAGAAAUAAGGCCAGAGGCUCAACCCAGCAGCUGUAGGAUCUCACGGAGUUCCAGAACAAAGAAAAUGUGUCAUGUGUGUGGCUGAGGGCAGGAGCUUAACAUUUUCAAUUGCCACAGUCCACCAAAGCACGUAAACCACACGUCUAGAAUAGUAGACAGAGAUUUAAAGAACAAACAAAAACACAUUAGAAGUGAAAAUUGCAUCAGACAUCACCAACACUUUAAUCACAACAGAGCGCUGCCUUCAACUCUGAAUUUGGUGUUCUACCUAGAAUGUUAUAUCCCAAGACAAUUUACCUGUCAGGCAUGUGAAAUUUCAAAAUAACUGACCUCCCACACACUCAUGCCCAGAAGUCAACCGAAGGAAGUGUUCCACUUUAACAAGAAAGUAAUCCAACCACCAAGACAUAGGGUGCAGAUGUGGAAUCCAGCUCAAAGAGAGAAGAAAACAAAUUCCAGGACGAUGAAAUCUCAGGAAACAGCUGCGAACUCAGAUGUGAGAGAAAAAAAGACCCAAGUAUUCUGUUGGGCCCUGACCAUGUAGAAAAUAGAUCAAGAUUAGUUUUACAAAUGUAUGUGGGAUUGCUGGGGAAGAAUUAGUUAUGUAAAAGCAAGACAAGAUGUCCUGUGUGUGGGAGUUCCCACGGUGGCACAGCAGAAACGAAUCUGAUAGUUAGUAUUCGGGAGGAUGUGGGUUCCAUCCCUGGCCUCCCUCAGAGGGUCAAGGAUCCAGUGGUGCCCUGAGCUGUGGUACCGCCACACCUGCAGCCCUAAAAAAUAAAAGCAAAAACAAACAAAAAAUCCUGAUUCAGAAAUGAACAGAAAUAGGCUCACUAUAAUGCAAACAUGGUGAUUUAACAACAAAAAAAAAAUUGGGAGGAGAAAUCUUUUUAGGGCCACACCUGCGGCAUAUGGAGCUCCCCAGGCUAGGGGUCGAAUCAACGCUCUAGCUGCCAGCCUACACCACAGCCACAGCAACGCCAGAUCUGAGCCGCAUCUGUGACCUACACCACAGCUCACGGCAACGCCAGAUCCUUAACCCACUGGGCGACGCCAGGGAUCGAACCCGAAAUCUCAUGGUUCCUAGUCAGAUUGUUUCCGCUGCAUGAUGGGAACUUCUCUUCAGUUAGCAAAUAAAUAAAUAACUGUAUAAACAUAUUACUUAGAAAUCUGAAACCAAGGUGCUAGGAAAAACCUAAAGGCGGAAAUGAAAUGCCUCCUGAGAAAUAAAUGAGAAAGGAUGGAGCAGGGGCUACCUUCCUUAUAAGCUUUGAAAUACUACUAAACUAUGUAUGUUACUUUUAUAAAGAUUAUUAUUUUAAAACACACAUAUAUGAAGUUGAAAGUGUAGGAAAAAAUACUGCUUGAAAUCUCUUCUCUAUAGUUCUAACCUAUUUGGAAUAUAAAGAGGUGACUAACAUGCAACCCCAAGUUCAAGAUUCCAGGUCGGUUUUUCAAGGCACUGUAUGAGAGAUGGAACUCAUCCUCCUAGCAGCAACAGCGACUCCAGAGGCCAGCCAGUGAUUUCCAAUUAAGGGGCACAUCAGACCUCCCAGUAGCUUAGAAAAAAUACCUCCAUUGAUUUUGGUCCUUAUUUAUAUGACUCCACAGCCCCCUUCUGCUUUGUGCACCAAUAUAAAUAAACCUUAUAAAUUCUAAACUGCAGA